rnacentral:snoRNA from 15 species
UGAUGAUAUUAUUUGACUAGAGUUUCUGAUAAUUUUAAUUGAUUACAAAACCCUUAGCUGCCUGA